CAGGCCUAACACAUGCAAGUCGAGCGCACACUUCGGUGUGAGCGGCAGACGGGUGAGUAACACGUGGGAAUCUACCUUUUGCUACGGAACAACUCCGGGAAACUGGAGCUAAUACCGUAUGUGCCCUUUGGGGGAAAGAUUUAUCGGCAAGAGAUGAGCCCGCGUCGGAUUAGCUAGUUGGUGGGGUAAAGGCCUACCAAGGCGACGAUCCGUAGCUGGUCUGAGAGGAUGAUCAGCCACACUGGGACUGAGACACGGCCCAGACUCCUACGGGAGGCAGCAGUGGGGAAUAUUGGACAAUGGGGGCAACCCUGAUCCAGCCAUGCCGCGUGAGUGAUGAAGGCCCUAGGGUUGUAAAGCUCUUUCACCGGUGAAGAUAAUGACGGUAUCCGGAGAAGAAGCCCCGGCUAUCAUGGUGCCAGCAGCCGCGGUAAU
rnacentral:rRNA from 1 species